GAUGUCCCCUACAUAGCCUGAACACACGAAUCAACUAGCCUUUUUUUAUAGAAAAAUCAAAACAUUUUCUUAUCUUUAGUAUGUGCGACAGAAAAAGAAGCCAGAGCAAUAUUUGUAGUACCGUAAGGGAAAAGUGAAAUAGAAAUGAAAAACUUUAAACAAAAAAAAGCAGAGAUAAAACCUCGUACCUUUUGCAUCAUGAUCUAACUAGACGCACCGAGCAAGUUGAUACCUAGUUCGUGCCCCCGAAACUUAGUGAGCUACUCCGAGGCAACUUUUUGAGUUAACCCGUCUCUGUGGCAAAAGAGUGGGAUGACCUCCGAGUAGAGGUGAUACGCCUAUCGAACUUAGUGAUAGCUGGUUGUCCGGGAAAAGAAUCUUAGUUCCCCCUUAAGAACCUUUAGCAAUAUUAAGCAAAUCAAAUUCUUAAGACAUACUCAAUAAGGGUACAGCCUUAUUGAAACAGGGUACAACCUCAACUUUAGGUUAAUGGUUUAAUUUACACUAUGACACGACUAAGUUGGCUUAAAAGCAGCCACCUUUCAAAAAGCGUCUAAGCUUCAUCCAUUAUGUACACAAUUCAAUUAUUCACUCAAAAUCCAAUACUCCUACCGGACUUUUCUAUAUUUUUAUAGAAGUAAUUAUGUUAGAACUAGUAACACAGAAAUUUUUCUCUUACAUGCAAAUAUAAGUCUGAUCGAAUACAUCACAGACAGUUAUACAGAGAGAACCCAAAGUAAUAACCACACUAGAAAACCCUACUAAUAAUCCUGUUAACCUUACACAAGCGCAUGAAAGAAAGAUCAUAAGAUCCGGAAGGAACUCGGCAAACACUAGUCCCGCCUGUUUACCAAAAACAUCGCCUUUUGUUUACUAUAAAAGGUAACGCCUGCCCAGUGACUGUUCGUUCAACGGCCGCGGUACUCUGACCGUGCAAAGGUAGCGUAAUCACUUGUCUUUUAAUUAAAGACUAGUAUGAAUGGCAUCACGAGAACUAGUCUGUCUCCCCGAUCUGAUCAGUGAAACUGAUCUCCCCGUGCAGAAGCGGGGAUAAUACCAUAAGACGAGAAGACCCUGUGGAGCUUUAAAUUAAAAACCAACUGCUUUCUUAUUCUCACAAAAUACAUCUUGCGGACCUGGUCAAGAUUUUUAGCUGGGGCGGCUGUGGAGAAAAACACAUCCUCCACGAAUAAACAUGUUAAGGGCUACCGCCCUAAACAUUAACAAAUUAACUUUAAUUGACCCUUAUUGAUCAACGAACCAAGUUACCCCAGGGAUAACAGCGCAAUCCACUUUUAGAGUCCAUAUCGACAAGUGGGCUUACGACCUCGAUGUUGGAUCAGGGCACCCCAG
rnacentral:rRNA from 1 species